GGGGAUUUAGCUCAGUGGUAGAGCGCUUGCCUAGCAAGCCUAAGGCCCUGGGUUCGGUUCCCAGCUCCCG
rfam:Rattus norvegicus chromosome 10, whole genome shotgun sequence.